GGUGAGCCGUGUGCGGGGAACGGAUGUGUGUGUACGUGUCUCCGUGUGCACCAGGGGCCGUGUGCACCACUGUGAUCGUGUGCGUGUGAAGAAAACGUAGUGUUGUAGUGUAAUAGAAAACGGAGACCCUCACGCACGCACGCACGCACGCACACAUAACUUUCUUAUACAACGAAAAAACAAUCAACGAAUUUUAAUCAAAACAAGAAAAUUAAAAGAAAAUCAAAACAAAGGAAGAAAAUAAGCAAGAAAAUUAAAGCAAAAUAAGAAAAUAAAGAAAAGCAAGAAAAUAAAGAAAAUAAUCAAGAAAAUGAAAACAAAACUAGAAAAUAAUCAAGAAAAUCAAGACAAAGUAAGAAAAUAAUCAAGAAAAUAAA